AUUAUCCCAAAUCACUUAAAUCCAAUUAAAGUUACGAAUUUGGGUUUUUCAAAAAGCUCAUAUUUGAACUUUUCACAAUUGGCCAGCCCAUCAUCCACAUAUUUUUUAGUAAAAACUUGGAGCAACUCUUUAAGCUUAUUUGCUUUUGAUCUUAUUACUGGUUCGCUGAAACUUUCUAGGUUUGGAAUUGUAUUUGUGUUUACAUCAUUUGAAAUUUGCUCCAAGUCACCUUCUGAUGCUCUUUGAGUAUCUUGAGUGUUUU
rnacentral:lncRNA from 1 species